AGGGCAGUAGCUCAAGUCGGUAGAGCACCGGUCUCCAAAACCGGCGGUUGGGGGUUCGAGUCCCUCCUGCCCUG
rnacentral:tRNA from 1 species